GAUGAACGCUGGCGGCGUGCUUAAUACAUGCAAGUCGAGCGAACAGACGCGGAGCUUGCUCCUUUGACGUUAGCGGCGGACGGGUGAGUAACACGUGGAUAACCUACCUAUAAGACUGGGAUAACUUCGGGAAACCGGAGCUAAUACCGGAUAAUAUCUUGAACCGCAUGGUUCAUUAGUGAAAGUCGGUUUUGCUGUCACUUAUAGCUGGAUCCGGGCGGCAUUAGCUGGUUGGUAGUGUAACGGCUUACCAAGGCAACGAUGCGUAGCCGACCUGAGAGGGGGAUCCGCCACUCAGGAGGUGAGACGCGGUCCAGACACCGACGGGAGGCAGCAGUAGGUAAGCUUCCGCGAUGGGCGAAAGCUUGACGGAGCGACGGCGCGUGAGUGAUGAAGGUCUGCGGAUCGUAAAACGCUGUUAUUAGGGAAGAACAAAUGUGUAAGUAACGAUGCGCGUCUGGACGGUACCUAAACAGAAGGCCACGGCUAACUACGG
rnacentral:rRNA from 1 species